GGGGAAUGGGUCUGCAGUCCAGGCCUGAGCAGGAGGAUGUGGGGUCUGCCUGCCCCAGGCAGCCCCUCCUGUCCUGAAGUCACUGACGUAUCCCCUACGCCCCUGCCCUGGGAAGCAGCAUAAACCCAGUGACCGGGAGGGUGGAAGAAAAGCUGCCCAACCCUAUGGAGGGCAUGACGGAGGAGCAGAAGGAGCACGAGGCCAUGAAGCUGGUGAACAUGUUUGACAGGCUCUCCAGGCACAGAGUCAUCCAGCCCAUGGGGAUGAGCCCCCGGGGCCACCUGACGUCACUGCAGGACGCCAUGUGCGAGACCAUGGAGGGCCAGCUGUCCUCGGAUCCUGACUCGGACCCUGACUGAGGGUGGCAGCUCUUCUGCUCCCACUUGAGAACUGGUGCUGCUUUCAGAGACGUCCCUGGGGCUGUCACCCAGGGAGGCCACCUCCCACCAGCCACAUGGCUCCACGCCUAUCUCCAGCUUGGGGGCCCUUCUCUGCUCCAGAGUGCUGUUCUUGAUCUGCUCUGGUCCACUUUCUUAUCUCUAGGUCCUGUCCUGUGGUUCUCCUGGAACUCGGCCUUCGUUUCCAUGUGUGUCUUAGAGGAGUGUGUGCAGAGGCUGCUGCCCAAGGCCAGGGUCGACCUGGACUUGCGGACAAGCGAGCGUGAGGGCAGGGGCUGAGCAUGCGUGCACACCGAAGCACACCUGGCCCAGAGCUGUGUGGGGGCGCAUGCUGCACCUCACAGGACUGCUAGAACUUUAUACACUAGUAUCAAACCCCACACUCCCAGUGUAUGUUCUGUUCUUUGUUCCCACUGAGCGCAGGACGGGUGGCCUCUCUGUCCUGAGUCCUGGCUCAGCUGCCCACAGUAGUGUCCAGGGCACCCAGGCUCUCACUGGCUGUGACAGCUGCAUCCCAGCCCUUCCCCAGGCUCAGACUGCUUACAGGAAGGGAAUGCCCUGGUGAGCCCUGAGGUUGAGGUUUCUACCGUGGACCCAAAACAGCCACGGAAACAUCACUCUACAGGAGUUUAGGGCAGGAAUGUACGUGUGAGUAUGUGUACAUUACCAAGUAAAAGAACAUUAAGUAGAAAUAGAAGCUGAUUUUGUCCUUUUCA